UACAGAGACUGCAAGCGUUAUUCGGAUUCACUGGGCGUAAAGGGUGCGCAGGCGGCCAAGUGUGUUAGGCGUGAAAGCCCGGGGCUUAACCCCGGAAUUGCACCUAAAACUACAUGGCUAGAGCAUUGGAGAGGGUAGCGGAAUUCACGGUGUAGCAGUGAAAUGCGUAGAUAUCGUGAGGAACACCAGAGGCGAAGGCAGGUCACUGGGCCGCAACUGACGCUGGAGGAAGCGAAAGCCAUGGGGAGCGAACAGG
rnacentral:rRNA from 1 species